rnacentral:rRNA from 1 species
AUGCAGUUAACGAGACUAAAAUGCGAGGGCUUUGUUCUAUCUGCCCACAUGUGCCACAACGUGGUCGACGCCUUCGGCAUGAUCCAGUUCAUCAGAGCCAUCGCCGAUCUAGCCCGCGGCGAGGCCCGUCCGACCGUCCUGCCCGUCUGGAGCAGGGAGAACAUGUUCAAGCCACGCACGCCCCCUCGUGUCAGGCGUGAUAUCUUCCCAGGCAGCAUUUCCGUAGGCGUCUCCACGGUCGACACGACGCCACCCGCAGACAUGGUGACCCAGAUCUUCCGCUUCGGCCCGAAAGAGAUCGCCACUCUCAGAAGCUACGUGCCGACGCACCUUGCACGGUCCUGCACCAGGUUCGAGCUGCUCACCGCGUUCAUGUGGAGGUGCCGCACAGUGGCGCUAGGCUACGAGCCUGGGCCCGACGGACCGCCCGUGCGCCUCGUGUUUCGCAUGAACGCGCGGGGCAAGUACCCGCCGAUCCCCAUGGGCUACUACGGCAACACCGUCCUCCGCCCAAUGGUGGAGACCAGUGUUGAUGAUCUCUGUGGCAAGCCUCUCGGGCAUGCGCUCGAGCUGGUGCACAGGGCCUGCAGGCUCAGCACCACGGAGGAGCACGUGAGGUCGACGGUGGACAUGAUCACCGCGCUUCGCGCGCACCGGUAUCUUGAUGUGGAUAGGGCUUUUCAUGUGUGCGAUAUGACUCGCCUUGGAGAGGAUAGAAUUGACAUGGGAUGGGCCAAGAGGGUGGGUGGUGGUGUCGCCUACGUUCUAGACCAAAUGAGCUACCACCUGGCUUUCAAGAAUGAGGAUGGUGAGGUGACCACCCUUGUGUCCUCCGACGCCUUGCCCAGGCCUACGCUGGAGAGGCUUGCAGAGGAGAUAUCCAUGUGGAUGACCAGUGAUGCAAAGAAGAUUAUACCCAGCUCCAUGUGA